rnacentral:tRNA from 1 species
UUAGCUCAAUGGUGGAGCGACCGGCUGUUAACCGGUAGGUUGAAGGUUCGAGUCCUUCA